rnacentral:lncRNA from 1 species
CUGCACCUAAUCAUGUAGGCAUUAUAUCAUUUCAUAUUUUCACAAGAAGGAAGGUGAGUACAGUAUGAUAUUUUGAGAGAAAAAGAGAGAGAGAAAGAGAUCACACCCACACAACUUUCAUUACAGUAUAUGGCUAUAAUUGUUCUAUUUUAUUAUUAGUUAUUGUUAAUCUCUGUGACUAAUCUAUAAAUAAAACUUUAUCAAAGAGAUAUAUGUAUAGGAGAAAACACUACAUAUGGAGAUCAGUACUAUCCAUGGUUCCAGUCAUCUGCUCGGUAUCUUGGAAUGUAGCCCCCACAGAUAAGGGGGGUGGAGAGCUACUUUUUAUGUCAUAAAUAAAUGGUGGUAAAUAUUUUCAUCUUAUUUCACCACGUUGUUUCAAUAUUUGUGAUGACCUGUAAAGAUCCUCACCCAGUGACUGAUCCAUUGGCACUUCUCUGCUUCUCAACCCUCUUCAUUAGUCUGGCAUUACACUGAUAAGGAGCUUGGCAUCAUUUAAAAUAUAUGAACAUCGAGACUAAUACUUAUCUUAAAAGGCUGUCUUUUACUUAAAAGGCUUUCAUCUGGGGGAUCCCUGGGUGGCUCAGCAGUUUUGCGCCUGCCUUUGGCCCAGGGCGCAAUCCUGGAGUCCCGGGAUCGAGUCCCACAUCGGGCUCCCUGCAUGGAGCCUGCUUCUCCCUCUGCCUGUGUCUCUGCCUCUCUCUCUCUCUCUCUAUGUCUAUCAUAAAUAAAUAAAUCUUUUUUAAAAAAAAAAAAAAGGCUUUCAUCUACUUUGAAGCUAUAAUAGCAUCUCCUUAACUUCAAUAUUAUAAUUCCUAGUUUACAUCUCUCAAGAAGGCCAUUUGAAAUUUUUGAAGAAAACACGAUACCUGGGUUUUUCUACAAAACAGUGACUAUGAAAUCAAUUUGGAUCACUAACGAGAAUGUUACUCUUACUGCUAAUGCUGACUUUUAAAUUCUGAGGUUAGAGAUGGUGGAAGUGUCUCCUCAAUGACCAUAGCUAUGGAUAACCUUCUGGAUGCAAUGUUCAGAUAUUUCACAGUCUCUGAGGCUGUGCCAAGAAUACAAGACACAACUAGCAAAGAAUUUCUCAAGUAUUCUUUUUCACCCAAUCACAAAGAAAGACACUUUGUUUGCUUGUUCUUUGAUUGUUUCAUCUAUUUUCUUGUUAAGGAUUUUGCUUGUUGUCUUCUGACUUUCAGGUCUUACAAUUAGAAGGGUUUUUUUUUUUUUUUCAUCAGGAUACAGUAUCACGUAUGUAUUGAUAUAAAAUAUAAGGAAGCUGAUCAGUAUGACAAUUUAUACCUAUUUUGAUGGCAAACAAUUAAAAGUCUUUUUUGAUAUGUAGUUUACUGAAAGAUUAAUUUUGUGAUCUUAGUCUGUGUGAUGGCUUCCCAGAAUUUUAAGCAGGAUUGUGUACAAAUGAAGUAAUGGGUAGAGAAUCAUAUAAUUUGUCUUUUAAACAGGGACACUCGCAGUAAUGAAAAGGGCACAAAAAUAAUUAUCAGGUGUCAAACGAUCUAUAAAAGACAUAAACUGAUACUGCCUUGGAAGAAUCAAGAAUAGUGAUAGGAUACUAUGUAGUAAGAUCUCAAAAUUCUCCAAGAUUUCCUCAUAUAUAACAAAUAUAUUUCCUUUUUUUAAGAUUUUAUUUAUUUAUUUGAGAAAGAGGGAGAGAGAGAGUAAGAGGGAGCAUGAGCAGGGGGGAAGCACAGAGGGAGAAGCAGACUCCCCAUUGAGCAGGGAACCCAAUGCAGGGCCCUAUCCCAGGACCCCAGGAUCAUAGCUGAGCUGAAGGCAGAUGCCCAACCACCUUAGCCCCCCAGGCGCCCCACAAGUGUCUUUCCCUACAGCAUACUUCAAGACUUUAAACAAACAGCAGUACAGCCAUUCAAAGUGGCUGAAAAAUCAAUGUGGAAUUAUUUUAUUUAAAAAGUCAAAAUUAUAAUGAAUAAACAUUAUUAGCAUACAGGUAGUCUACUUUGC